rnacentral:rRNA from 1 species
UACGUAGGGGGCAAGCGUUGUCCGGAAUCAUUGGGCGUAAAGCGCGUGUAGGCGGUUCGGUAAGUCCGCUGUGAAAGUCGGGGGCUCAACCCUCGGAUGCCGGUGGAUUCUGUCGGGCUUGAGUACGGAAGAGGCGAGUGGAAUUCCUGGUGUAGCGGUGAAAUGCGCAGAUAUCAGGAGGAACACCGGUGGCGAAGGCGGGUCUCUGGGCCGAAACUGACGCUGAGGAGCGAAAGCGUGGGGAGCGAACAGG